rnacentral:rRNA from 1 species
UACGAAGGGGGCUAGCGUUGUUCGGAAUUACUGGGCGUAAAGGGCUCGUAGGUGGCCAACUAAGUCGGACGUGAAAUCCCUCGGCUUAACCGGGGAACUGCGUCUGAUACUGGAUGGCUUGAGUUCGGGAGAGGGAUGCGGAAUUCCAGGUGUAGCGGUGAAAUGCGUAGAUAUCUGGAGGAACACCGGUGGCGAAGGCGGCAUCCUGGACCGACACUGACGCUGAGGAGCGAAAGCCAGGGGAGCAAACGGG